rfam:Rattus norvegicus chromosome 20, whole genome shotgun sequence.
GGGGCUUUAGCUCAGUGGUAGAGCGCUUGCCUAGCAAGCGCAAAGCCCUG